rnacentral:rRNA from 1 species
GACAGCAGCAGCCGCGGUAAUACAGAGGGUGCGAGCGUUAAUCGGAUUUACUGGGCGUAAAGCGUGCGUAGGCGGCUUCUUAAGUCGGAUGUGAAAUCCCCGGGCUUAACCUGGGAACUGCAUUUGAAACUGUCAGGCUGGAGUCUUGUAGAGGGGGGUGGAAUUCCAGGUGUAGCGGUGAAAUGCGUAGAGAUCUGGAGGAAUACCGGUGGCGAAGGCGGCCCCCUGGACAAAGACUGACGCUCAGGUGCGAAAGCGUGGGGAGCAAACAGGAUUAGAUACCCGAGUAGUCCCUGUCUCUUAUAC